rnacentral:rRNA from 1 species
AAUUAGCGGAUGACCUGUGGCUGGGGGUGAAAGGCCAAUCAAACCGGGAGAUAGCUGGUUCUCCCCGAAAGCUAUUUAGGUAGCGCCUCGUGAAUUCAUCUCCGGGGGUAGAGCACUGUUUCGGCUAGGGGGCCAUCCCGGCUUACCAACCCGAUGCAAACUGCGAAUACCGGAGAAUGUUAUCACGGGAGACACACGGCGGGUGCUAACGUCCGUCGUGAAGAGGGAAACAACCCAGACCGCCAGCUAAGGUCCCAAAGUCAUGGUUAAGUGGGAAACGAUGUGGGAAGGCCCAGACAGCCAGGAUGUUGGCUUAGAAGCAGCCAUCAUUUAAAGAAAGCGUAAUAGCUCACUGGUCGAGUCGGCCUGCGCGGAAGAUGUAACGGGGCUAAACCAUGCACCGAAGCUGCGGCAGCGAACGUAUCACCCAAGACAACUUUACGGAGUUGACGAUUGACGGAGCGAAGCGACGUCAAAGCGUUCAUUAAAGUCGAGUUGGCUUAGGGAUACGUUCGUUGGGUAGGGGAGCGUUCUGUAAGCCUGUGAAGGUGUGUCGUGAGGCAUGCUGGAGGUAUCAGAAGUGCGAAUGCUGACAUAAGUAACGAUAAAGCGGGUGAAAAGCCCGCUCGCCGGAAGACCAAGGGUUCCUGUCCAACGUUAAUCGGGGCAGGGUGAGUCGACCCCUAAGGCGAGGCCGAAAGGCGUAGUCGAUGGGAAACGGGUUAAUAUUCCCGUACUUGGUGUUACUGCGAAGGGGGGACGGAGAAGGCUAUGUUGGCCGGGCGACGGUUGUCCCGGUUUAAGCGUGUAGGUGUGUGUUCCAGGUAAAUCCGGUUCACUUUAACACUGAGGCGUGACGACGAGGCACUACGGUGCUGAAGCAACAAAUGCCCUGCUUCCAGGAAAAGCCUCUAAGCAUCAGGUAACAUCAAAUCGUACCCCAAACCGACACAGGUGGUCAGGUAGAGAAUACCAAGGCGCUUGAGAGAACUCGGGUGAAGGAACUAGGCAAAAUGGUGCCGUAACUUCGGGAGAAGGCACGCUGACACGUAGGUGAAGUGAUUUACUCAUGGAGCUGAAGUCAGUCGAAGAUACCAGCUGGCUGCAACUGUUUAUUAAAAACACAGCACUGUGCAAACACGAAAGUGGACGUAUACGGUGUGACGCCUGCCCGGUGCCGGAAGGUUAAUUGAUGGGGUCAGCGCAAGCGAAGCUCCUGAUCGAAGCCCCGGUAAACGGCGGCCGUAACUAUAACGGUCCUAAGGUAGCGAAAUUCCUUGUCGGGUAAGUUCCGACCUGCACGAAUGGCGUAAUGAUGGCCAGGCUGUCUCCACCCGAGACUCAGUGAAAUUGAACUCGCUGUGAAGAUGCAGUGUACCCGCGGCAAGACGGAAAGACCCCGUGAACCUUUACUAUAGCUUGACACUGAACAUUGAGCCUUGAUGUGUAGGAUAGGUGGGAGGCUUUGAAGUGUGGACGCCAGUCUGCAUGGAGCCGACCUUGAAAUACCACCCUUUAAUGUUUGAUGUUCUAACGUGGACCCGUAAUCCGGGUUGCGGACAGUGUCUGGUGGGUAGUUUGACUGGGGCGGUCUCCUCCUAAAGAGUAACGGAGGAGCACGAAGGUUGGCUAAUCCUGGUCGGACAUCAGGAGGUUAGUGCAAUGGCAUAAGCCAGCUUGACUGCGAGCGUGACGGCGCGAGCAGGUGCGAAAGCAGGUCAUAGUGAUCCGGUGGUUCUGAAUGGAAGGGCCAUCGCUCAACGGAUAAAAGGUACUCCGGGGAUAACAGGCUGAUACCGCCCAAGAGUUCAUAUCGACGGCGGUGUUUGGCACCUCGAUGUCGGCUCAUCACAUCCUGGGGCUGAAGUAGGUCCCAAGGGUAUGGCUGUUCGCCAUUUAAAGUGGUACGCGAGCUGGGUUUAGAACGUCGUGAGACAGUUCGGUCCCUAUCUGCCGUGGGCGCUGGAGAACUGAGGGGGGCUGCUCCUAGUACGAGAGGACCGGAGUGGACGCAUCACUGGUGUUCGGGUUGUCAUGCCAAUGGCACUGCCCGGUAGCUAAAUGCGGAAGAGAUAAGUGCUGAAAGCAUCUAAGCACGAAACUUGCCCCGAGAUGAGUUCUCCCUGAGACUUAGAGUCUCCUGAAGGAACGUUGAAGACGACGACGUUGAUAGGCCGGGUGUGUAAGCGCAGCGAUGCGUUGAGCUAACCGGUACUAAUGAACCGUGAGGCUUAACCUUACAACGCCGAAG